rnacentral:rRNA from 1 species
GACGAACGCUGGCGGCGUGCUUAACACAUGCAAGUCGAACGGAAAGGCCCUGCUUUUGUGGGGUGCUCGAGUGGCGAACGGGUGAGUAACACGUGUGUAACCUGCCCUUGACUUUGGGAUAACUUCAGGAAACUGGGGCUACUACCGGACAGGAGCUCCUGCUGCAUGGUGGGGGUUGGAAAGUUUCGGCGGUGGGGGAUGGACUCGCGGCUUAUCAGCUUGUUGGUGGGGUAGUGGCUUACCAAGGCUUUGACGGGUAGCCGGCCUGAGAGGGAGACCGGCCACAGUGGGACUGAGAUACGGCCCAGACUCCUUCGGGGGGCAGGGGUGGGAAAUGUUGCAAAAUGGACCGAAGGCUGGUACAGCAACGCCGCGUGCGGAAUGACGGCCUUCGGGUUGUAAACCGCUUUCGCCUGUAACGAAGCGUGAGUGACGGUAAUAAAGAAAGAAGCACCGGCUAACUACGG